rnacentral:rRNA from 1 species
AACGAACGCUGGCGGCAUGCCUAACACAUGCAAGUCGAACGAGAACGUCGGGUUUUGGGGCGCACGGGUGCGUAACGCGUGGGAACUUGCCCUUAGGUUCGGAAUAACUCCCUGAAAGGGGUGCUAAUACCGGUUAAUGUCUUCGGACCAAAGAUUUAUCGCCUUUGGAUGGGGGCGGGUUGGUUUAGCUAGUUGGUAGGGUACAAGCAUACCAAGGCGUCGUUCCAUAGCUGGUCUGAGAGGAUGAUCAGUCAGGCUGGGACUGAGACACGGCCCAGACUCGUACGGGAGGGAGCAGUAGGUAAUAUUGGACACUGGGCGAAAGCGUGAUCCCGCAGUGCCGCGUGAGUGAUGAUGGCGUUAGGGUUGUACUGCUCUCUUACCCGGGGUGAUAAUGACAGUACCGGGUGAAUAAGCUCCGGCUAACUCCGUG